rnacentral:rRNA from 1 species
GAUGAACGCUGGCGGCGUGCCUAAUACAUGCAAGUCGAGCGAAUGGAUUAAGAGCUUGCUCUUAUGAAGUUAGCGGCGGACGGGUGAGUAACACGUGGGUAACCUGCCCAUAAGACUGGGAUAACUCCGGGAAACCGGGGCUAAUACCGGAUAAUAUUUUGAACUGCAUGGUUCAAAAUUGAAAGGCGGCUUCGGCUGUCACUUAUGGAUGGACCCGUGUCGCAUUAGCUAGUUGGUGAGGUAACGGCUCACCAAGGCAACGAUGCGUAGCCGGCCUGAGAGGGUGAUCGGCCACACUGGGACUGAGACACGGCCCAGACUCCUACGGGAGGCAGCAGUAGGGAAUCUUCCGCAAUGGACGAAAGUCUGACGGAGCAACGCCGCGUGAGUGAUGAAGGCUUUCGGGUCGUAAAACUCUGUUGUUAGGGAAGAACAAGUGCUAGUUGAAUAAGCUGGCACCUUGACGGUACCUAACCAGAAAGCCACGGCUAACUACGUGCCAGCCGCCGCUGUAA